AGAGUUUGAUCCUGGCUCAGAACGAACGCUGGCGGCGUGCUUAACACAUGCAAGUCGAGUGCGCGCCUGUAGCAAUACAGGUGGCGCACGGCGCACGGGUGCGUAACACGUGGGCAAUCUGCCCUUCGAUGGGGAAUAACCUCGCGAAAGCGAGGCUAAUUCCGCAUAACAUUCCUUGGACUUCGGUUCGAGGACUCAAAGCCGUAAGGCGUCGAUGGAGGAGCCCGCGCACGAUUAGCUAGUUGGUAGGGUAACGGCCUACCAAGGCUUUGAUCGUUAGCUGGUCUGAGAGGAUGGCCAGCCACACUGGAACUGAGACACGGUCCAGACUCCUACGGGAGGCAGCAGUGGGGAAUCUUGCACAAUGGGCGAAAGCCUGAUGCAGCGACGCCGCGUGGGGGAUGAAGCAUCUCGGUGUGUAAACCCCUUUCGACCCGGACGAAUGCCUCGCAAGAGGAGUGACGGUACGGGUAUAAGAAGCCCCGGCUAACUACGUGCCAGCAGCCGCGGUAAGACGUAGGGGGCCAGCGUUGUUCGGAAUUACUGGGUGUAAAGGGUUCGUAGGCGGUGUGGCAAGUUGGGAGUGAAAUCUCUGGGCUCAACCCAGAGGCUGCUUCCAAAACUGCCGUGCUUGAGUGUGGGAGAGGCGCGUGGAAUUGCAGGUGUAGCGGUGAAAUGCGUAGAUAUCUGCAGGAACACCCGUGGCGAAAGCGGCGCGCUGGACCACUACUGACGCUGAGGAACGAAAGCUAGGGGAGCAAACAGGAUUAGA
rnacentral:rRNA from 1 species